ACAAGCGGUGGAUGAUGUGGAUUAAUUCGAUGCAACGCGAAGAACCUUACUACCCUUGACAUGUCCGGAAUCCCGAAGAGAUUUGGGAGUGCUCGCAAGAGAACCGGAACACAGGUGCUGCAUGGCUGUCGUCAGCUCGUGUCGUGAGAUGUUGGGUUAAGUCCCGCAACGAGCGCAACCCUUAUCAUUAGUUGCUACGCAAGGGCACUCUAAUGAGACUGCCGGUGACAAACCGGAGGAAGGUGGGGAUGACGUCAAGUCCUCAUGGCCCUUAUGGGUAGGGCUUCACACGUCAUACAAUGGUCGGUACAGAGGGUUGCCAAGCCGCGAGGCGGAGCCAAUCCCACAAAGCCGAUCGUAGUCCGGAUUGUUCUCUGCAACUCGAGAGCAUGAAGUCGGAAUCGCUAGUAAUCGCAGGUCAGCAUACUGCGGUGAAUACGUUCCCGGGUCUU
rnacentral:rRNA from 1 species